rnacentral:rRNA from 1 species
ACUCAAAGGAAUAGACGGGGGCCCGCACAAGCGGCGGAGCAUGCGGAUUAAUUCGAUGCAACGCGAAGAACCUUACCUGGGUUUGACAUGGCCGCAAAACUGUCAGAGAUGGCAGGUCCUUCGGGGGCGGUCACAGGUGGUGCAUGGCUGUCGUCAGCUCGUGUCGUGAGAUGUUGGGUUAAGUCCCGCAACGAGCGCAACCCUCGUCCCAUGUUGCCAGCAAUUCGGUUGGGGACUCAUGGGAGACUGCCGGGGUCAACUCGGAGGAAGGUGGGGAUGACGUCAAGUCAUCAUGCCCCUUAUGUCCAGGGCUUCACGCAUGCUACAAUGGCCGGUACAAACCGUUGCGAGCCCGUGAGGGGGAGCGAAUCGGAAAAAGCCGGUCUCAGUUCGGAUCGGGGUCUGCAACUCGACCCCGUGAAGUCGGAGUCGCUAGUAAUCGCAGAUCAGCAUUGCUGCGGUGAAUACGUUCCCGGGCCUUGUACACACCGCCCGU